UGGGGGAUAUUGCACAAUGGGCGAAAGCCUGAUGCAGCGACGCCGCGUGGGGGAUGAAGGCCUUCGGGUUGUAAACUUCUUUUGCUCUGAACAAGGCAUGCCUUUGGGGUGUGUUGAGUGUAGGGGUUGAUUAGCGCCGGCUAACUACGAGCCAGCAGCCGCGGUAAUACGUAGGGCGCGAGCGUUGUCCGGAAUUAUUGGGCGUAAAGGGCUUGUAGGUGGCUGGUUGCGUCUGUCGUGAAAGCUCAUGGCUUAACUGUGGGUUUGCGGUGGGUACGGGCUGGCUUGAGUGCAGUAGGGGAGGCUGGAAUUCCUGGUGUAGCGGUGGAAUGCGCAGAUAUCAGGAGGAAUACCGGUGGCGAAGGCGGGUCUCUGGGCUGUUACUGACGCUGAGGAGCGAAAGCGUGGGGAGCGAACAGG
rnacentral:rRNA from 1 species